rnacentral:lncRNA from 1 species
AUAACCAGACUGUACACGUUCGGAAUCUGCCGACGCAAACACAGGGAACGCGGGGACCAGCUCAAAAAGAAGCCUACCCAGAAGAGAAAGGGCUGUAGGUGUAAGUGUAGGUGUGGCGCUCGGCAGAAGAGCAAGCAGCAACGUGGACGGAGAAGGGCCCGACGGGGGAGAUCCCAGUACAGGAGACGCAGGAAAAGUCGGAGGAAGCCCAAGAAAAGUCGGAGGAAGCCCAAGAAAAGUCGGAGGAAGCCCAUGAAAAGGAGUCAGUCACGGCCCAGGAGGAGGCACCCAAGGAGAACGAAGGGGAAGUUUAAAUCAAGUCAGCACAGAGGGAGAGGUGCUGAGGAGGAAACGGAAUCUAUGGGGUGAAAUACUUUUUCAGGAAGAGUGUGGUUGAGCCCGAGAAGUGAUCCAGGUGAUCGCGGCAGAUCUCCGAGCCCCAAAGAAGACGCCAUCUGUCAAUAAACUUCAGUCAGUGCAUUCCAAGCUCUGUUUUUCCACAUGUACUCCUUUUUCCAUCGUUUCACAUCCAGUUUCAAAAGGAACUAUCCUAAUGCUAUCACUGCUGCUUUUCUGCCACUUACAAGCCAGUCUCGGUCAUCCAUGAUUUUAAUCAAUCAAUCAGUGGUAUUUACUGAGUGCUUACUGUGUGCAUAGCCCUAUACUGAUAACGCAUAGCCCUAUACUGAUAACAACAACAAUAAUAAUAAUCACUACAGCAUUCGUUAAGCGCUCAUUGUGUGCCAGGCACUGUACUAAGCACUGGGAUGAAAACAAGCAAAUCUGGUCAGACACAGCC